GAUGAACGCUUGCGGCGUGCUUAACACAUGCAAGUCGAGCGAAGCAGUUAAGAAGAUUCUUCGGAUGAUUCUUGACUGACUGAGCGGCGGACGGGUGAGUAACGCGUGGGUGACCUGCCCCAUACCGGGGGAUAACAGCUGGAAACGGCUGCUAAUACCGCAUAAGCGCACAGAGCUGCAUGGCUCGGUGUGAAAAACUCCGGUGGUAUGGGAUGGGCCCGCGUCUGAUUAGGCAGUUGGCGGGGUAACGGCCCACCAAACCGACGAUCAGUAGCCGGCCUGAGAGGGCGACCGGCCACAUUGGGACUGAGACACGGCCCAAACUCCUACGGGAGGCAGCAGUGGGGAAUAUUGCACAAUGGGGGAAACCCUGAUGCAGCGGCGCCGCGUGAGCGAAGAAGUAUUUCGGUAUGUAAAGCUCUAUCAGCAGGGAAGAUAAUGACGGUACCUGACUAAGAAGCCCCGGCUAACUACGUGCCAGCAGCCGCGGUAAUACGUAGGGGGCAAGCGUUAUCCGGAUUUACUGGGUGUAAAGGGAGCGUAGACGGCAAGGCAAGUCUGAUGUGAAAACCCAGGGCUUAACCCUGGGACUGCAUUGGAAACUGUCUGGCUCGAGUGCCGGAGAGGUAAGCGGAAUUCCUAGUGUAGCGGAGAAAUGCGUAGAUAUUAGAAAGAACACCAGUGGCGAAGGCGGCUUACUGGACGGUAACUGACGUUGAGGCUCGAAAGCGUGGGGAGCAAACAGGAUUAGAUACCCUGGUAGUCCACGCCGUAAAC
rnacentral:rRNA from 1 species